rnacentral:rRNA from 1 species
AACGAACGCUGGCGGCAGGCCUAAUACAUGCAAGUCGAGCGCACCUUCGGGUGAGCGGCGGACGGGUGAGUAACGCGUGGGAACGUGCCCUUUGGUACGGGAUAACUGAGGGAAACUUCAGCUAAUACCGUAUGUGCCCUACGGGGGAAAGAUUUAUCGCCAUUGGAGCGGCCCGCGUUGGAUUAGCUAGUUGGUGAGGUAAAGGCUCACCAAGGCUACGAUCCAUAGCUGGUCUGAGAGGAUGAUCAGCCACACUGGGACUGAGACACGGCCCAGACUCCUACGGGAGGCAGCAGUAGGGAAUCUUGCGCAAUGGGCGAAAGCCUGACGCAGCCAUGCCGCGUGAAUGAUGAAGGUCUUAGGAUUGUAAAAUUCUUUCACCGGGGAAGAUAAUGACGGUACCCGGAGAAGAAGCCCCGGCUAACUUCGUGCCAGCCGCCGCAGUAAGAC